GACGAACGCUGGCGGCGUGCCUAAUACAUGCAAGUCGAGCGAAUGGAUUAAGAGCUUGCUCUUAUGAAGUUAGCGGCGGACGGGUGAGUAACACGUGGGUAACCUGCCCAUAAGACUGGGAUAACUCCGGGAAACCGGGGCUAAUACCGGAUAACAUUUUGAACCGCAUGGUUCGAAAUUGAAAGGCGGCUUCGGCUGUCACUUAUGGAUGGACCCGCGUCGCAUUAGCUAGUUGGUGAGGUAACGGCUCACCAAGGCAACGAUGCGUAGCCGACCUGAGAGGGUGAUCGGCCACACUGGGACUGAGACACGGCCCAGACUCCUACGGGAGGCAGCAGUAGGGAAUCUUCCGCAAUGGACGAAAGUCUGACGGAGCAACGCCGCGUGAGUGAUGAAGGCUUUCGGGUCGUAAAACUCUGUUGUUAGGGAAGAACAAGUGCUAGUUGAAUAAGCUGGCACCUUGACGGUACCUAACCAGAAAGCCACGGCUAACUACGUGCCAGCAGCCGCCGUAAGAC
rnacentral:rRNA from 1 species